UGUAACCACCACGCAUGCGCCAGUAGCGUGAGUCAGCAUUAUAAACAAUACGCAUGCGUGGGCAGAAUGAAAAGGACAAGUGCCCAAAGCCGGCGGCGUGCCAUCUUGUUGAACUAUAGUAAAGUGCUGUUUUGCUCCAUGCAGUCUGUUUCACGGUAUGGCGGCGCCUCGCACAUUUUUCCAGGAGGGCAUUUGCUUCUUCCCGCUUGGGCACGGCCAUGAGGCUUAAACAGCCAACUCCCAGCACUGGGCACUUGACAACCAUCAUCUUACUUGCUCCUUGCAAAACCCCAUGAAGAAAGCAUUACUCUCCCCAACACAGAGACGAAGAAGCAGGACAGAGAAGGAAUCCCCAAAAUACAAUUAAACAUCUUCCUCAGUGGAACAGAAAAUCAAUAGCUUUGACCUGGUGCCGCAAAGCCCAUCCUCCGGCCAUCCCUGUAGGCAUGCUGCUGCCAUGGCGACCCCAAGUGACUUAGCUGCCAAUACUCCUGCAGGGAAGCAAUACGACAACUCCAGAAGGCAAAAAACUCCACCAGACAACUCUUUCAGCCUCCUCAGCAAGUCAUCAUCAUGGAAGGAAAAGUGCGGAUGGAAACAGUUCCAGAUUCCACAAGGCUGAAGAGAUGUAACAAAUGCCAUGUGUGGGCCUUCACUGGAUGCUAUUUUGAGCAAACCAACUAGAAAGGACGCCGCCUGUGAUACAAAUGGAGAAUUUAGAUAUGGAUUGGGUAUCUUAUGAUAUAAAGGAAUAAUGUUAAUUUGCUAGGGAUUGUGGUUAUAUAUCCUUAAUUUUUAGAGAUGACAACUGUAGUAUUUAGGGAGUGAAAUGUCAUGAUGUUGAAAUUUGCCUUUUAAAAAAAAUCAGAAAAAAAAUAUAGCUGAAGCAAAUAUGGCAGAUUGUUAACCAUUGCUGUCUAGAUGUGUAUAUGGGGGUUCAUUUUACUAGUUCCUCUCUCUUCCAUGUGCAAAUUUACAUUAAAAAACUUUUAAAGCCAGGAAAUUGUAAAAUCUGCAAUGAUAAUCCAAAAGAAUUAUUCAAAGAUUUUCAAAGAGAUGUUUGAAUAAAUUAAUAAGUAUAAAUAAUUUUUAACAAUUCUGAGUUCUGUAUUAAAGUACAGGAGCUGUGUCAACUUCUAUAGGAGACAUGUGUAUGACAAAAAUGACAGCCAGAAUAUUGUUGAAUUUUGUAUCGCAUUCCAGAGAACUGUUCUUUUUUUUAAAUAAAAAGAAUUUAAUUUAUAUGGAAUCACAAAAGACCCAGAAUUGCCAAAGCAGUACUAAAGAAAAAGGAUGAAGCAGGAGGCAUAAUCCUCCUAGACUUCAGACAAUACAACAGGGCUACAGUAAUCAAAACAACAAGAUAUGGGCACAAAAACAGAUACAUGGAUCAAUGGAACAGAAUAGAGACCCAGAAAUAAACCCACACGCUUAUGGUCAAUUAAUUUUCGACAAAGGAGGCAAGAAUAUACAGUGGAGAAAAGACAGUCUCUUUGGCAAGUGGUGCCUACAGAAGUUGAGUAGGUUCAUGCUCUUUCUCUCUCAUUUGUCCAAAUUUGAUUUUGGCAAAUAUGAAGACUUGGAAGCAGAAAACCCAUUUCCAUGUUUAGAGCACAGAAUUUCUUCCUUUUAAAAAUGAAGCUCAGAACCCCCUAGGAGAGCAUUAGAAGGACAGUCUGCAGGUUGGCAGGGGCGAACAACAGAAUGGACUAAGCUGGUCCAACUCCGUCCUUUGCAUUUCAGAUUUCUCUGGGGAGCUUCUUUUUUUAGAGGACCUAUUUCUUCUGAAAGCUCUAAGUGUGAACAGGAACCCCUGUGCAUUUUGUUUUAGAGUUAGGGCACCGUAAACCAAGGAAGUUAGGGAACCUUUGUCUUAAGCACAUUUGUAGAUUGGUAAAAGAGGCCAUGAUGUAGAAAAUACAAGGACCAUGCCAGGAGGGGUGGAAUCAUUUGCACAAAGCAGUUAGUCAUGGAAAAGAAGAAUUAUUUUAUUUUUCUUCUAAGGCAGAAAUAAAUAAGAUAAAUUAAAAAAAAAACAGGCAAAGAUGAAGGUACAAGGAUAAAGACGAAAGUGUGAGACAAAAGAAGGAAGCUGAGGAGCCUAUUCUGUAGGACCACGGUAUUCUUCAAAGAAUGAGGGAGCAUCAGAGUGGAUCAGAGCAUCAGAAGUGGAGAGAGAAGACAAGGAAAUCUGCAGACUUGGAGUACCGUGGGGCUUGAUUUAAUUUUUCUCUGAUUAGUUAUUGAAUGAAAAAUUGAACCCAGCAAUGCUAUAUUUUUUCUUU